rnacentral:rRNA from 1 species
GACGAACGCUGGCGGCGUGCUUAACACAUGCAAGUCGAACGGAAAGGCCCUGCUUUUGUGGGGUGCUCGAGUGGCGAACGGGUGAGUAACACGUGAGUAGCCUGCCCUUGACUUUGGGAUAACUUCAGGAAACUGGGGCUAAUACCGGAUAGGAGCUCCUGCUGCAUGGUGGGGGUUGGAAAGUUUCGGCGGUUGGGGAUGGACUCGCGGCUUAUCAGCUUGUUGGUGGGGUAGUGGCUUACCAAGGCUUUGACGGGUAGCCGGCCUGAGAGGGUGACCGGCCACAUUGGGACUGAGAUACGGCCCAGACUCCUACGGGAGGCAGCAGUGGGGAAUAUUGCACAGUGGGCGGAAGCCUGAUGCAGCAACGCCGCGUGCGGGAUGACGGCCUUCGGGUUGUAAACCGCUUUCGCCUGUGACGAAGCGUGAGUGACGGUAAUGGGUAAAGAAGCACCGGCUAACUACGUG